rnacentral:rRNA from 1 species
GACGAACGCUGGCGGCGUGCUUAACACAUGCAAGUCGAACGGUAAGGCCCUUCGGGGUACACGAGUGGCGAACGGGUGAGUAACACGUGGGUGAUCUGCCCUGCACUUCGGGAUAAGCCUGGGAAACUGGGUCUAAUACCGGAUAGGACUCCGGACUGCAUGGUCUGGGGUGGAAAGCUUUUGCGGUGUGGGAUGGGCCCGCGGCCUAUCAGCUUGUUGGUGGGGUGAUGGCCUACCAAGGCGACGACGGGUAGCCGGCCUGAGAGGGUGACCGGCCACACUGGGACUGAGAGACGGCCCAGACUGCUACGGGAGGCAGCAGUGGGGAAUAUUGCACAAUGGGAGCAAGCCUGAUGCAGCGACGCCGCGUGAGGGAUGACGGCCUUCGGGUUGUAAACCUCUUUCAGCAUCGACGAAGCGAAAGUGACGGUAGGUGCAGAAGAAGGACCGGCCAACUACGUGCCAGCCGCCGCAGUAA